UUGGUUUAGCUGCUACUUCAUUGGUCGGUAUUUCUGGUUCAUGUUCAUAUAAAUUGUGAUCUUCUGAAGUUUCGUCGUAUUCUGGUGUAUCGAUUUUGUUAUCUUCUAAUGGUGUUUCCUCAUCCUGUUCUUCAUGGGUAUCAUAUUCUUCAGACACUUCUAGACCGGUGUUCGGAUUUCUUCGUCGCCUGUGGCGUCUUUUAGGUUGAUUAUUUCUUUCAUCUUGUUCACCAAUAUCACUUGGUUUAGCUGCUACUCCAUUGGUCGGUAUUUCUGGUUCAUGUUCAUAUAAAUUGUGAUCUUCUGAAGUUUCGUCGUAUUCUGGUGUAUCGAUUUUGUUAUCUUCUAAUGGUGUUUCCUCAUCCUGUUCUUCAUGGGUAUCAUAUUCUUCAGACACUUCUAGACCGGUGUUCGGAUCUCUUCGUCGCCUGUGGCGUCUUUUAGGUUGACUAUUUCUUUCAUCUUGUUCAUCAAUAUCACUUGGUUUAGCUGCUACUCCAUUGGUCGGUAUUUCUGGUUCAUGUUCAUAUAAAUUGUGAUCUUCUGAAGUUUCGUCGUAUUCUGGUGUAUCGUUUUUGUUAUCUUCUAAUGGUGUUUCCUCAUCCUGUUCUUCAUGGGUAUCAUAUUCUUCAGACACUUCUAGACCGGUGUUCGGAUUUCUUCGUCGCCUGUGGCGUCUUUUAGGUUGAUUAUUUCUUUCAUCUUGUUCACCAAUAUCACUUGGUUUAGCUGCUACUUCAUUGGUCGGUAUUUCUGGUUCAUGUUCAUAUAAAUGGUGAUCUUCUGAAGUUUCGUCGUAUUCUGGUGUAUCGAUUUUGUUAUCUUCUAAUGGUGUUUCCUCAUCCUGUUCUUCAUCUGUAUCAUAUUCUUCAGACACUUCUAGACCGGUGUUCGGAUUUCUUCGUCGCCUGUGGCGUCUUUUAGGUUGAUUAUUUCUUUCAUCUUGUUCACCAAUAUCACUUGGUUUAGCUGCUACUUCAUUGGUCGGUAUUUCUGGUUCAUGUUCAUAUAAAUUGUGAUCUUCUGAAGUUUCGUCGUAUUCUGGUGUAUCGAUUUUGUUAUCUUCUAAUGGUGUUUCCUCAUCCUGUUCUUCAUGGGUAUCAUAUUCUUCAGACACUUCUAGACCGGUGUUCGGAUCUCUUCGUCGCCUGUGGCGUCUUUUAGGUUGACUAUUUAUUUCAUGUUGUUCAUCAAUAUCACUUGGUUUAGCUGCUACUCCAUUGGUCGGUGUUUCUGGUUCAUGUUCAUAUAAAUGGUGAUCUUCUGAAGUUUCGUCGUAUUCUGGUGUAUCGAUUUUGUUGUCUUCUAAUGGUGUUUCCUCAUCCUGUUCUUCAUGGGUAUCAUAUUCUUCAGACACUUCUAGACCUGUGUUCGGAUUUCUUCGUCGCCUGUGGCGUCUUUUAGGUUGAUUAUUUCUUUCAUCUUGUUCACCAAUAUCACUUGGUUUAGCUGCUACUUCAUUGGUCGGUAUUUCUGGUUCAUGUUCAUAUAAAUGGUGAUCUUCUGAAGUUUCGUCGUAUUCUGGUGUAUCGAUUUUGUUAUCUUCUAAUGGUGUUUCCUCAUCCUGUUCUUCAUGGGUAUCAUAUUCUUCAGACACUUCUAGACCGGUGUUCGGAUCUCUUCGUCGCCUGUGGCGUCUUUUAGGUUGAUUAUUUCUUUCAUCUUGUUCACCAAUAUCACUUGGUUUAGCUGCUACUUCAUUGGUCGGUAUUUCUGGUUCAUGUUCAUAUAAAUGGUGAUCUUCU